rnacentral:tRNA from 1 species
GGGGAUUUGGCUCAGUGGUAGAGCGCUUGCCUAGCAAGCACAAGGCCCUGGGUUCGCUUCCCAGCUCCCA